CCUACGGGAGGCAGCAGUAGGGAAUAUUGCACAAUGGGGGAAACCCUGAAGCAGCAACGCCGCGUGGGGGAUGAAGGUUUUCGGAUUGUAAACUCCUUUUGUUAGAGAAGAUAAUGACGGUAUCUAACGAAUAAGCACCGGCUAACUACGUGCCAGCAGCCGCGGUAAUACGGAGGGUGCAAGCGUUACUCGGAUUUACUGGGCGUAAAGGGCGCGUAGGCGGGAUAGCAAGUCUGAUGUGAAAUCCUAUGGCUUAACCAUAGAACUGCAUUUGAAACUGUGAGUCUGGAGUAUGGGAGGGGUAGGUGGAAUUCGUGGUGUAGGGGUGAAAUGCGUAGAGAUCAAGAGGAAUACUCAUGGCGAAGGUGACUUGCUAGAACGUAACUGACGUUGAUGCGCGAAAGCGUGGGGAGCAAACAGGAUUAGAUACCCCUGUAGUC
rnacentral:rRNA from 1 species